UACAGAGGUGGCAAGCGUUGUUCGGAAUUACUGGGCGUAAAGGGCGCGUAGGCGGCCUUCUAAGUCAGACGUGAAAUCCCCCGGCUUAACCUGGGAACUGCGUCUGAUACUGGGAGGCUUGAGUAUGGGAGAGGGAUGUAGAAUUCCAGGUGUAGCGGUGAAAUGCGUAGAUAUCUGGAGGAACACCAAUAGCGAAGGCAGCUCGCUGGGACGGUACUGACGCUAAGGCGCGAAAGCGUGGGGAGCGAACAGG
rnacentral:rRNA from 1 species